rnacentral:rRNA from 1 species
UAGGGAAUCUUCGGCAAUGGGGGCAACCCUGACCGAGCAACGCCGCGUGAGUGAAGAAGGUUUUCGGAUCGUAAAGCUCUGUUGUAAGAGAAGAUCGUGUGUGAGAGUGGAAAGUUCACACAGUGACGGUAACUUACCAGAAAGGGACGGCUAACUACGUGCCAGCAGCCGCGGUAAUACGUAGGUCCCGAGCGUUGUCCGGAUUUAUUGGGCGUAAAGCGAGCGCAGGCGGUUUAAUAAGUCUGAAGUUAAAGGCAGUGGCUUAACCAUUGUUCGCUUUGGAAACUGUUAAACUUGAGUGCAGAAGGGGAGAGUGGAAUUCCAUGUGUAGCGGUGAAAUGCGUAGAUAUAUGGAGGAACACCGGUGGCGAAAGCGGCUCUCUGGUCUGUAACUGACGCUGAGGCUCGAAAGCGUGGGGAGCAAACAGG